rnacentral:rRNA from 1 species
UACGUAGGGACCAAGCGUUGUUCGGAUUUACUGGGCGUAAAGGGCGCGUAGGCGGCGCGGUAAGUCACUUGUGAAAUCUCUGAGCUUAACUCAGAACGGCCAAGUGAUACUGCAGUGCUAGAGUGUGGAAGGGGCAAUCGGAAUUCUUGGUGUAGCGGUGAAAUGCGUAGAUAUCAGGAGGAACACCAAUGGCGAAGGCAGCUCGCUGGAACGGUACUGACGCUGAGGCGCGAAAGCGUGGGGAGCAAACAGG